AGUGAACGCUGACGGUAGGCCUAACACAUGCAAGUCGAACGGCAGCACAGUAAGAGCUUGCUCUUACGGGUGGCGAGUGGCGGACGGGUGAGGAAUACAUCGGAAUCUACUUUUUCGUGGGGGAUAACGUAGGGAAACUUACGCUAAUACCGCAUACGACCUACGGGUGAAAGCAGGGGAUCCUCGGACCUUGCGCGAUUGAAUGAGCCGAUGUCGGAUUAGCUAGUUGGCGGGGUAAAGGCCCACCAAGGCGACGAUCCGUAGCUGGUCUGAGAGGAUGAUCAGCCACACUGGAACUGAGACACGGUCCAGACUCCUACGGGAGGCAGCAGUGGGGAAUAUUGGACAAUGGGCGCAAGCCUGAUCCAGCCAUACCGCGUGGGUGAAGAAGGCCUUCGGGUUGUAAAGCCCUUUUGUUGGGAAAGAAAAGCAGCAGGUUAAUACCCCGCUGUUCUGACGGUACCCAAAGAAUAAGCACCGGCUAACUUCGUG
rnacentral:rRNA from 1 species